UACAGAGGUCUCAAGCGUUGUUCGGAUUCAUUGGGCGUAAAGGGUGCGUAGGCGGCGCGGUAAGUCGGGUGUGAAAUCUUGGAGCUUAACUCCGAAACUGCAUUCGAUACUGCCGUGCUUGAGGACUGGAGAGGAGACUGGAAUUUACGGUGUAGCGGUGAAAUGCGUAGAUAUCGUAAGGAAGACCAGUGGCGAAGGCGGGUCUCUGGACAGUUCCUGACGCUGAGGCACGAAGGCCAGGGGAGCAAAACGGG
rnacentral:rRNA from 1 species